AUCGAACUUCGGGGCGGGGCGAAAUUCCCCACCGGCGGUAUAUUACAAGCCAUGCUUCGUAAUCAGCCCGCGAGCGCCUUUUUCAGAUGAUCUCCUAAGGGAGAAUGCAGGAAAAAGGGUCAGCAGAUCUGGUGAGACGCCAGAGCCGACGGUUAUAGUCCGGAUGAUAGAAGAUCGAC
rnacentral:ncRNA from 1 species